GGGAAUCUGCCCUCAGGUUCGGAAUAACCAUUGGAAACGAUGGCUAAUACCGGAUGAUGACGUUAAGUCCAAAGAUUUAUCGCCUGAGGAUGAGCCCGCGUAGGAUUAGCUAGUUGGUGUGGUAAAGGCGCACCAAGGCGACGAUCCUUAGCUGGUCUGAGAGGAUGAUCAGCCACACUGGGACUGAGACACGGCCCAGACUCCUACGGGAGGCAGCAGUGGGGAAUAUUGGACAAUGGGCGCAAGCCCGAUCCAGCAAUGCCGCGUGAGUGAUGAAGGCCUUAGGGUUGUAAAGCUCUUUUACCCGGGAUGAUAAUGACAGUACCGGGAGAAUAAGCUCCGGCUAACUCCGUGCCAGCAGCCGCGGUAAUACGGAGGGAGCUAGCGUUGUUCGGAAUUACUGGGCGUAAAGCGCACGUAGGCGGCUUUGUAAGUUAGAGGUGAAAGCCUGGAGCUCAACUCCAGAAUUGCCUUUAAGACUGCAUCGCUUGAAUCCAGGAGAGGUGAGUGGAAUUCCGAGU
rnacentral:rRNA from 1 species